CUGGCGAAUGUGAUCGAAUGAAUGAUAUGCAAAAGACUUAGAAUUGUUUUCUUCUGAAAAGCGAUUCUAUAUUUUUGUGUGCGAGUUCACUCAUUUGCAUCCGUCAGAAAUACAAAAUCGGCGACAAAAUUGCUAGUGUGAACCAGGCUUAGUCAGGUCUAAAAAUUGGAAAUAAAUUUUCAGUAGCAGGCUUAACUCAGUGGCAAGGAGCCAUCAACCAUAUCGGCCUGCACUGGUAGUUCUCUACCCACUGGUAAUAAACGGACAGUUUAAUAACAUUUUAUGAGCUUAGUUACUACAUAAUAUAUAUAUUUUUUAUUCUUCAAUAUAUUAAAUAAUUGUCUUGUUUUGUGAGAAACACCACGUUUCGUUAUUUUGCAAUGUUUGUGAUCUUGUAAAGUGUGAAUCUUCCAAUAUAUUCUUACAUGCUCUGAUCAAGAUCAUGGGUCAAAAGCUUUGCGAAAUAACGAAACGUGAUAGUUAUCCAAAACAUAAAUCAAUGAUUUUCACUAAGCACCAUCGUGCAGCAGAUGUUGGUCAACCUGCAGUUAUCAGAAAAAGAAUUCUUGGGUUUCACUAUGGCAUUAUGCAGUGAAUCUGACGGGGGUCAACCUCAAAUGUAUUGAUGCUUAUGCUGUACUGGAGUGAGAAAAUGAUACGAAAUUCCAUGUAAUUGCCACCAAACACAAGGC
rnacentral:lncRNA from 1 species